UCGUACCCUCUGCCCGUCGCUUCGGCCUCCCUUCCCCUCGUCCCAACCGCGUCCGCGAAAGCGCGCUUUAGCUUCUCUCUCGCCACCGUCUGCCCGCGAAUCACGAGGCUCCGACGACGCCCUGCGAGUCACGUAGUCAACGUGGCUCUCAGAUCGCGGCUCCGGCCGAGGAAUGAUGCAAACGACGACGAUUAUUAGCUCGGUGACGCGACGUAAAUCGGAGAUGGUGAUUUUCGCGACGGACAUAGAUGACGCGUUACUUGAUAUACGCGCGCGAUAUUCUUAGUUUAUAUUCUCACGAUGUCGCUCGAAAUCGUGUCUCUUUCGUCACAUCGUAGUAACUGUUUUAUUUAUUUAUUUUCUUUUAAUAAACUCGUUUCCGCAACGAGUUUGCCGAACAUUGUUAUUGUUUCUUUCGAUGCGUGUAAUAGCGAUAACGACGCGUUCGAUUAUAAAAUUCGCGCAGCAGAUGCCAUAGCGAGAGUAGGGGAAAUUUAUCCCUCUCCCCUUCGUCCGAGAAAUACAUUGCGCGAAUUCCAACCAAUGUUACAGUUGUUUCACGUCCAUCGAUAAAUUUGAAGAACGAUAACUAGUUUCGCCUUCGCGCGUCAUAGAUUUGACGGUUUUUAAUCUUUAUUUCGUCUUAAAACGCCCGAUCGAGAGUGAUUUUUUUAAAGCGAUAUUCGCGAAGUUGGGUGCGAGUGAGAGUCGCUGAUUCUCCGCGCUCGCCGGCUUCCACCGCGCCAUUUUGCGCGUAAUAAUACGAGAAACAGCGUUUUCUCUACGCCGUAUACAUACGCAUGUAUUCACCGUCUGUAAAGGGAAAGAGGAUCGCCUUCGUUUUCGCACGGUCGACCUUCUCCUCGCUUAUGUUUUCGCCCUUGUUUUUCAUCGAUGAUGUUUUGGGCCACCGAAUCGAGAUAAGGACGGUGAAUGAUGCCGGUUGCGUCGCAUGUUUUCGACGGCGCGGAUGCGCGCGCAUGGCGCUCUCCGGUCACGUACGCCGUGAUCGACACGUAUCCCGCCAUCGUGGUGGGGGGAAGGAACGCGCGCGUCAUGGUGGGAGAGGCGCGUGGAACAACCGAGAACAUCGAGUGUGACGUCGAAAAUAGAGGGAGAACAGCCGGCCGACGAAUGUCGUACACGAAUCUGAAAUAAUAUACAUGUAUACAUGGAUUUUAAAUGAAGUAAAGAUUAGCUCCUACGGUUUUCUUUACAGAGUCUAAGCGACGAUAUGCAAGACAGGCGUUUCAAGGUCAAGGACGAGAGGAGAAAUGACGCCGGCUCUUGGUCUCUCCCGUUUCGCCUUUGGAAUAUUUACCAUCGACUUUGAGAAUAUUCGUCGGUCGCCAGCGAAAUUACGUAACCAUUUGCAUCCACAUCGGAAACGAUCGGCUGACAACCGAGAAGUUUUCUGGUAGUAAAAAACCGUCUUAAGAAAACUUAUCUUUUAGAUUGGGGGGGAGGGGGCCAGAUACACGCCUCGGAUACAUACAAACGCGGGACGAGGAUUCGAGGAAAUGGAUUUCGGACGGAGCCAUGCGUUUUUUGCGCAUCAUGUGGAACGAACAUGAGCCGCGCGGAUGAGCUUAAAGGAGAACGAUCACAACGCAAUGAGAGAAGGUUACGUAACCGAGGGGGAACCGACACGCCGGCCGGCCGGCCGGCCGGCAAACACCGGUGCCGGCGUUUCUCAGCCACAUAUUUCGACAUGGUAUACGUUCGUAUAUACUUAAUAAUUUGUCUAAUAAAGGAAUUUUACAGGGAGCCUUUUAUUUAUUCUCUGCGCUUGUACGUGCGACUGCCACGAUUAUCCAUGUAUGAUCUGAGUAACGCAAUAUUUAUAUGGAGAUGAUUCACACGCGUGUACUCGGGUCUCGAUGGGAGUUAUCGUGUGAUCUGCGCAAAUCGUCGAUAUCAAUAAAGACGCCCAACGAAAACAAAGUUUCCUUUCAAAGCAAGCUGUCGCCAAUAAGAAGUGCCUUUGCAAGAACG